rnacentral:rRNA from 1 species
GACGAACGCUGGCGGCGUGCUUAACACAUGCAAGUCGAACGGAAAGGCCCUGCGUUUGUGGUGUUCUCGAGUGGCGAACGGGGGAGUAACACGUGAGUAACCUGCCCUUGACUUUGGGAGAACUUCAGGAAACUGGGGCUAAUACCGGAUAGGAUCUCCUGCUGCGGGGUGGGGGUUGGAAAGUUUCGGCUGUUGGGGAUGGACUCGCGGCUUAUCAGCUUGUUGGUGGGGUAGUGGCUUACCAAGGCUUGGACGGGUAGCCGGCCUGAGAGGGUGACCGGCCACCUUGGGACUGAGGUACGGACCAGACUCCUACGGGAGGCAGCAGUGGGGAAUCUUGCACAACGGGCGGACGCCUGUUGCAGAAACGCUGCGUGCGGGAUGACGGCCUUCGGGUUGUAAACCGCUUUCGCCUGUGACGAAGCGUGAGUGACGGUAACGGGUAAAGAAGCACCGGCUAACUACGUG